GGACCCCUUUUCCUCCAAGACCAGCGCUUACAGCCAGCCUGCCUUAGCGCCCCUACGCUCUCUCGACACACCAGGAGACAUGGUCACCCUACUAUUUUCCCCUUAAGUGCCCCCAGUGGUUACACACAUUAUUUACAAAUUUCCCAUAAUGCAACUAUCUACAUUUAAACAGUAACGCGGGUCGUUACAUAGCCCCCCAUCAAAAAGAAUAGCAGCGUCCCCGCUGCUGCCUGCCCCACAUUUGUCCCAACGUCCAGCGCUGUUCUCACGUGCAUCCGGUCGGGAGUACCGGUCCCAGACGCUCACCGCUGGUGGUUGGGGCGGGGAAACCUGCAAGAGACCCCCAUGGCGGCGCGCUUGGGGGUCGGGGUGGCCAUCCUCGUCCCCCGUCCGCCCGGCCUCGGCCCCCGCAGGACUCCCUCACUCGCACGUGGCGCGUCCCGAACAUGGCGGCGCCCACGUGGCUUUCGCUAACCGGCUUCCGUGGGACCUUCGCGACGGCUCCCCGCAGCCGCUCCGCGUUGUCCCCGCUCCGUUGUCGGGGGCGAACAUCUUUCUCGCGCCCGCCGUCGUCUCGCCGCGCGCCUCGCCGCUCGGUCAUCUUUCGGCGAAGGACCCGACAAAGCCGCCCUGCUUGCCGCCCCCGCCUCCGCCGAUUCGCCGCCCGCUGAGCCCGCCGCGACGCUCGCAAAACGGGCCGCUUCUUGCUACGCAGCCCUCCUCCUUCUGCGGCGCCUGCUCCGCCGCGCCGCUCCUCAACAACGCCCGCCUGGGCUUCAGGCAGGCUGGGCGCUUUUUCCCCGAAAGUGCCGGACUCCCGAUCCGCGGGAGAAUUCGCGUCGGCGGUUCCGCUCCUCUCCGACACGGAGCUCUGCCUGUCCACAGACGAGGCACACUGCUCCGCGUCGCCCAGCACGGCAUCUGUCCUGCUCGAGAAAGCGGCGCGACUUUCCUCCGCGGUCGACGGCGGUUCGCUGCCUCUUCCUGCCGCUCUUUCUCUGGGCGCAGGGAGACCCCACUCGACCUGCUCGCCCAUCUCCAGCGGCACCUCGCAGCUCUUCUCCGCCGUCCUCGCCCUUGCGCACGCUUCCCCAGCGUCCCCCUGGCCACCCGUGCUCCGCCACGGCUCGUCCGCCUCGACCUCCACCGUCAUAGGCACUUCUCCCGCCGGACACUGUUCUUCCGUCUCGGUCUUCUCUCCUUCCCGCUGCUUGGUGGUCAGCUGUUCCCUAAUCCAGCCUCUCAUCGUCCUGCCCCAUCCCACUUCUGACACCAAUGUGGCGCGCAGCGCCGUGGGUUUGGAUGGGGCGAAGGAGGACGCGGAGGCAGCGUUCAUAACGAACGGUUUAUUUGAACACCAACACACAGGGAAUAAUGCUCUCGGUCCGAGGACCCCUUUUCCUCCAAGACCAGCGCUUACAGCCAGCCUGCCUUAGCGC
rnacentral:lncRNA from 1 species